rnacentral:misc_RNA from 1 species
AACGCACCUUGCGCUCUAUGGUAUUCCGUAGAGCAUGCCUGUUUGAGUGUCAUGAAAACAAUCAACCUUGACUUUGGUUUCAUUACCUUUGUCUCGGCUUGGACUUGGGUGCUUGCCGGUCUCACGAUCGGCUCACCUCAAAUGAAUUAGCUGGACUUGUUGGAAACUGGUUUGACUUGGCGUAAUAAGUAUUUCGCUAAGGACAUUGCUUCGGCUUUGGCCAGUCUCUUUGACUAUGUCUGCUUUCCAACCCCGUCCAUUGGACGAACUUUUUAUGAUCUGGCCUCAAAUCAGGUAGGACUACCCGCUGAACUUAA